GUUGGGUAGGGGAGCGUUCUGUAAGCCUGCGAAGGUGGCCUGUGAGGGUUGCUGGAGGUAUCAGAAGUGCGAAUGCUGACAUAAGUAACGAUAAAGCGGGUGAAAAGCCCGCUCGCCGGAAGACCAAGGGUUCCUGUCCAACGUUAAUCGGGGCAGGGUGAGUCGACCCCUAAGGCGAGGCCGAAAGGCGUAGUCGAUGGGAAACGGGUUAAUAUUCCCGUACUUGGUGUUACUGCGAAGGGGGGACGGAGAAGGCUAUGUUGGCCGGGCGACGGUUGUCCCGGUUUAAGCGUGUAGGUGUGUGUUCCAGGUAAAUCCGGUUCACUUUAACACUGAGGCGUGACGACGAGGCACUACGGUGCUGAAGCAACAAAUGCCCUGCUUCCAGGAAAAGCCUCUAAGCAUCAGGUAACAUCAAAUCGUACCCCAAACCGACACAGGUGGUCAGGUAGAGAAUACCAAGGCGCUUGAGAGAACUCGGGUGAAGGAACUAGGCAAAAUGGUGCCGUAACUUCGGGAGAAGGCACGCUGACACGUAGGUGAAGUGAUUUACUCAUGGAGCUGAAGUCAGUCGAAGAUACCAGCUGGCUGCAACUGUUUAUUAAAAACACAGCACUGUGCAAACACGAAAGUGGACGUAUACGGUGUGACGCCUGCCCGGUGCCGGAAGGUUAAUUGAUGGGGUCAGCGCAAGCGAAGCUCCUGAUCGAAGCCCCGGUAAACGGCGGCCGUAACUAUAACGGUCCUAAGGUAGCGAAAUUCCUUGUCGGGUAAGUUCCGACCUGCACGAAUGGCGUAAUGAUGGCCAGGCUGUCUCCACCCGAGACUCAGUGAAAUUGAACUCGCUGUGAAGAUGCAGUGUACCCGCGGCAAGACGGAAAGACCCCGUGAACCUUUACUAUAGCUUGACACUGAACAUUGAGCCUUGAUGUGUAGGAUAGGUGGGAGGCUUUGAAGCGUGGACGCCAGUCUGCGUGGAGCCGACCUUGAAAUACCACCCUUUAAUGUUUGAUGUUCUAACGUGGACCCGUUAUCCGGGUUGCGGACAGUGUCUGGUGGGUAGUUUGACUGGGGCGGUCUCCUCCUAAAGAGUAACGGAGGAGCACGAAGGUUGGCUAAUCCUGGUCGGACAUCAGGAGGUUAGUGCAAUGGCAUAAGCCAGCUUGACUGCGAGCGUGACGGCGCGAGCAGGUGCGAAAGCAGGUCAUAGUGAUCCGGUGGUUCUGAAUGGAAGGGCCAUCGCUCAACGGAUAAAAGGUACUCCGGGGAUAACAGGCUGAUACCGCCCAAGAGUUCAUAUCGACGGCGGUGUUUGGCACCUCGAUGUCGGCUCAUCACAUCCUGGGGCUGAAGUAGGUCCCAAGGGUAUGGCUGUUCGCCAUUUAAAGUGGUACGCGAGCUGGGUUUAGAACGUCGUGAGACAGUUCGGUCCCUAUCUGCCGUGGGCGCUGGAGAACUGAGGGGGGCUGCUCCUAGUACGAGAGGACCGGAGUGGACGCAUCACUGGUGUUCGGGUUGUCAUGCCAAUGGCACUGCCCGGUAGCUAAAUGCGGAAGAGAUAAGUGCUGAAAGCAUCUAAGCACGAAACUUGCCCCGAGAUGAGUUCU
rnacentral:rRNA from 1 species